GAUGAACGCUGGCGGCGUGCCUAAUACAUGCAAGUCGAGCGAACGGACGAGAAGCUUGCUUCUCUGAUGUUAGCGGCGGACGGGUGAGUAACACGUGGAUAACCUACCUAUAAGACUGGGAUAACUUCGGGAAACCGGAGCUAAUACCGGAUAAUAUUUUGAACCGCAUGGUUCAAAAGUGAAAGACGGUCUUGCUGUCACUUAUAGAUGGAUCCGCGCUGCAUUAGCUAGUUGGUAAGGUAACGGCUUACCAAGGCAACGAUGCAUAGCCGACCUGAGAGGGUGAUCGGCCACACUGGAAGUGAGACACGGUCCAGACUCCUACGGGAGGCAGCAGUAGGGAAUCUUCCGCAAUGGGCGAAAGCCUGACGGAGCAGCGCCGCGUGAGUGAUGAAGGUCUUCGGAUCGUAAAACUCUGUUAUUAGGGAAGAACAUAUGUGUAAGUAACUGUGCACAUCUUGACGGUACCUAAUCAGAAAGCCACGGCUAACUACGUG
rnacentral:rRNA from 1 species